rnacentral:rRNA from 1 species
CAGCAGCCACGGUAAUACAGAGGGUGCGAGCGUUAAUCGGAUUUACUGGGCGUAAAGCGUGCGUAGGCGGCUUUUUAAGUCGGAUGUGAAAUCCCUGAGCUUAACUUAGGAAUUGCAUUCGAUACUGGGAAGCUAGAGUAUGGGAGAGGAUGGUAGAAUUCCAGGUGUAGCGGUGAAAUGCGUAGAGAUCAGGAGGAAUACCGAUGGCGAAGGCAGCCAUCUGGCCUAAUACUGACGCUGAGGUACGAAAGCAUGGGGAGCAAACAGGAUUAGAUACCCCGGUAGUCCCUGUCUCUUAUAC